rnacentral:rRNA from 1 species
GACGAACGCUGGCGGCGUGCUUAACACAUGCAAGUGGAGCGACGAACCAGGGCUUGCCCUGGGGCAGAGCCGCGAACGGGUGAGUAACACGUGGGUAACGUGCCCCGAUGACUGGGACAACCCGGGGAAACCCGGGCUAAUACCGGAUGUGCCCCCUCACAUCAGUGAGGUGUGUAAAGGAAGCUUCGGCCUCCGCAUCGGGAUCGGCCCGCGGCCCAUUAGCUUGUUGGUGAGGUAACGGCUCACCAAGGCGGCGAUGGGUAGCUGGUCUGAGAGGACGAUCAGCCACACUGGGACUGAGACACGGCCCAGACUCCUACGGGAGGCAGCAGUGGGGAAUCUUGCGCAAUGCGCGAAGGCGUGACGCAGCAACGCCGCGUGGGGGAAGACGGCCUUCGGGUUGUAAACCCCUUUCAGUUGGGACGAAGGUCGGGCGGUUAACAGCCGUUCCGGCUGACGGUACCUUCACAAGAAGCCCCGGCUAACUACGUG